ACAUUACGGAGGGCACAAGCGGGGACACUAUGGUGGCUCUAACCACGGGUACGGUCAUCAUGGACACGGGCACGGCCACAGGGGCUACGGCCAUGGACACUACGGUGGACACAAGGGACACUACGGACACCACGGAGGAGGCUACGGGCACGGCUAGGUUCGACACGUAUAUGGUAGCUGAUAAUUCAGUGUCCCGAUACAACAGAGACACCACAACACCGACGAUUCGCCAAACGCUCUACGUUCUUAUUUAUAGCACCAAGGUAACUGACCUAAAUAAAGAUUUUACAAUCAAGUGGUU